AGAGUUUGAUCCUGGCUCAGAUUGAACGCUGGCGGCAGGCCUAACACAUGCAAGUCGAGCGGAAACGAUGGAAGCUUGCUUCCACGCGUCGAGCGGCGGACGGGUGAGUAAUGCAUAGGAAUCUGCCCGGUAGUGGGGGAUAACCUGGGGAAACUCAGGCUAAUACCGCAUACGUCCUACGGGAGAAAGCAGGGGACCUUCGGGCCUUGCGCUAUCGGAUGAGCCUAUGUCGGAUUAGCUGGUUGGUGAGGUAACGGCUCACCAAGGCGACGAUCCGUAGCUGGUCUGAGAGGAUGAUCAGCCACAUCGGGACUGAGACACGGCCCGAACUCCUACGGGAGGCAGCAGUGGGGAAUAUUGGACAAUGGGGGCAACCCUGAUCCAGCCAUGCCGCGUGUGUGAAGAAGGCCUUCGGGUUGUAAAGCACUUUCAGUGGGGAAGAAGGCCUUGAGGCUAAUACCCUCGAGGAAGGACAUCACCCACAGAAGAAGCACCGGCUAACUCCGUGCCAGCAGCCGCGGUAAUACGGAGGGUGCGAGCGUUAAUCGGAAUGACUGGGCGUAAAGCGCGCGUAGGCGGCUUGGUAAGCCGGUUGUGAAAGCCCCGGGCUCAACCUGGGAAUGGCAUCCGGAACUGUCAGGCUAGAGUGCAGGAGAGGAAGGUAGAAUUCCCGGUGUAGCGGUGAAAUGCGUAGAGAUCGGGAGGAAUACCAGUGGCGAAGGCGGCCUUCUGGACUGACACUGACGCUGAGGUGCGAGAGCGUGG
rnacentral:rRNA from 1 species